rnacentral:rRNA from 1 species
UUUAUGGAGAGUUUGAUCCUGGCUCAGGAUGAACGCUGGCGGCGUGCCUAAUACAUGCAAGUCGAGCGAACAGAUAAGGAGCUUGCUCCUUUGACGUUAGCGGCGGACGGGUGAGUAACACGUGGGUAACCUACCUAUAAGACUGGAAUAACUCCGGGAAACCAGGGCUAAUGCCGGAUAACAUGUUGAACCGCAUGGUUCUACAGUGAAAGACGGUCUUGCUGUCACUUAUAGAUGGACCCGCGCCGUAUUAGCUAGUUGGUGGGGUAACGGCCUACCAAGGCGACGAUACGUAGCCGACCUGAGAGGGUGAUCGGCCACACUGGAACUGAGACACGGUCCAGACUCCUACGGGAGGCAGCAGUAGGGAAUCUUCCGCAAUGGGCGAAAGCCUGACGGAGCAACGCCGCGUGAGUGAUGAAGGUCUUCGGAUCGUAAAGCUCUGUUGUUAGGGAAGAACAAAUGUGUAAGUAACUGUGCACAUCUUGACGGUACCUAACCAGAAAGCCACGGCUAACUACGUGCCAGCAGCCGCGGUAAUACGUAGGUGGCAAGCGUUAUCCGGAAUUAUUGGGCGUAAAGCGCGCGUAGGCGGUUUUUUAAGUCUGAUGUGAAAGCCCACGGCUCAACCGUGGAGGGUCAUUGGAAACUGGAAAACUUGAGUGCAGAAGAGGAAAGUGGAAUUCCAUGUGUAGCGGUGAAAUGCGCAGAGAUAUGGAGGAACACCAGUGGCGAAGGCGGCUUUCUGGUCUGCAACUGACGCUGAUGUGCGAAAGCGUGGGGAUCAAACAGGAUUAGAUACCCUGGUAGUCCACGCCGUAAACGAUGAGUGCUAAGUGUUAGGGGGUUUCCGCCCCUUAGUGCUGCAGCUAACGCAUUAAGCACUCCGCCUGGGGAGUACGGUCGCAAGACUGAAACUCAAAGGAAUUGACGGGGACCCGCACAAGCGGUGGAGCAUGUGGUUUAAUUCGAAGCAACGCGAAGAACCUUACCAAAUCUUGACAUCCUUUGACCGCUCUAGAGAUAGAGUUUUCCUCUUCGGAGGACAAAGUGACAGGUGGUGCAUGGUUGUCGUCAGCUCGUGUCGUGAGAUGUUGGGUUAAGUCCCGCAACGAGCGCAACCCUUGAACUUAGUUGCCAUCAUUCAGUUGGGCACUCUAAGUUGACUGCCGGUGACAAACCGGAGGAAGGUGGGGAUGACGUCAAAUCAUCAUGCCCCUUAUGAUUUGGGCUACACACGUGCUACAAUGGACAAUACAAAGGGCAGCGAAACCGCGAGGUCAAGCAAAUCCCAUAAAGUUGUUCUCAGUUCGGAUUGUAGUCUGCAACUCGACUACAUGAAGCUGGAAUCGCUAGUAAUCGUAGAUCAGCAUGCUACGGUGAAUACGUUCCCGGGUCUUGUACACACCGCCCGUCACACCACGAGAGUUUGUAACACCCGAAGCCGGUGGAGUAACCAUUUUGGAGCUAGCCGUCGAAGGUGGGACAAAUGAUUGGGGUGAAGUCGUAACAAGGUAGCCGUAUCGGAAGGUGCGGCUGGAUCACCUCCUUU